CAUCCGAUCGAGACUCCUGAGGAUGGAAGAAAACACAGACAAAAAUCGGGGGAAAAUUAAAGAAAGACCAAAAAAGCUAAAAGGUAAGACCUUCCCCCCUUCAUUAUUUUUCCUUUUCACUUCUUUUUCUUUUCAUUUCGUUCACUGUUUCGGAGAUGCAUCUGAGAGAGAUCGGAGGGGUAAACGUUCCGGUUGGGUUUUUGUCUCAAGGAGUUGUGGCGGUGUGAGUUGGCCCCUUGAGGUUUUGAGAGCUUAAUCUUGGUGGAAGCAUGAUAUUUUGUAGGGUUUGUGGAUGGAGCAGCGGGCGAUGAUGGAGAUGGGGGACGAAAUGAGAGACCGAGUAGACGAGAGAUUUCGGGUAUGCCCACACGUCCCGCCCUUGGAGCCCGAUACGUGUAUGGCUUUUUUUUCUGAUGGGGCAGGUAUGGAUAUCGAUCGACCCGAUCAAUAUCCGACCCCUGGCUCCAAGCCUCCCAUGCGAUCGAGACUCCUGAUCCCAUAUUCGGCCGAUGGAAAACUAGGAGGAAAAUCAGGGAAAAAACCUUCUUAUUCGGAAUUUGCCGCUCCAAGCCUUCCACCGAACCUUCAUAUUCCGCCGCUCCAAGCCUCCCGCCCGAUUAAGACUCUUGAGGAUGGAAAAAAAACAGAGGAAAAAUCAGGGGAAAUCCUAGGCAAAAUCCACACAAACUAAGGAAAGACGGAAUAAUUUAAAAGCUAAGAUUUUUUUCCCCUCGUUUUUUACCUUUUCGCUUAUCUUCUCUUUAUUUCAUUCUCUUUUUUCGAGAGUUGUGGGAGAUUUUUCUAUUUUUGCUUUCUUUUCUUUUCGUUUCAUUCCUUUUUGAGAGAUUUAUGGGGAAAGAGAGCAGUGGGAGCCGGUCUCUUAGGUUUUGAGAGCUUGAUCUGCCAUGAUUUUUGUAGGGUUUGAGGAUUUUGUUAAGAUCGGAUCCAAUCUGGCCGGACAAAGUAGGUAUGCCUGACCCGACCUAAUUUGUGUCUUUUAUUUUAUCUGACCCGAUCAAACUUGAGACGGGUAUGGGGUGGAUAAGGAUAUAGGUUUUUGUAUUGUGGGGCGCGCAUGGAUGCCGGUGGAGUCAACCUAAACCCGACCUGUUGCCACCCUUACCAGUUCUAGUCUUCUAGAUCCAAUGCAAGAUUUGUACCAUAACCAAAUAAAUAGUUAGAAGUAGAGCCCAAGAUCAACAAAGUGAAGGUAUAUAGGAGCCAAAUGCUACUCGUGCAAUGUAUGAGAAUUAGCCUCAGGAUAACUGAAAAUGAAGAUUAGUUGUUGUCAUCCAAUGUAAAGCAGUAGUAUUUUGAGGUCCAAAUUAAUCAGUAGUUUGCAGCACUACUAAGGAAAGCUGAUGCAAAUUGCCCAACGCAUACCCUACUUUGCAUAACAAUCUGAAGGAGCAGCUCAAAUUAUAAAGAUAAAUGAUAGAGCAAUAAAGACUCUGAUGUUUGGCUUUGAAUAAACCAUAAAAGAAGAUUGUAGUAUUAAUAGAGAUAACAGAGAAUAGAGUUUUAACAGGCCGACAUAGAGUACCAACAGUGGGAGCCAUAUUGUGCAGCAAGUAGCAUAGUAUAAAAAAAUGCAGAGGGUAGUGUGCCAUAAGACUUUGAAACCAUCCAAUUAGUGAGCUGCACCAAAGAACAUGAUAAUGUAGAAAAAACACUAUAUUAGCUAGAUUUCAUUUAUGACUUCGUCAAUGUGUAUAAGAUCAUGCUGCAAUAUCGUAGCAAAUUGAGGAGGCAACGUACCCCCCAAGGAGAAAGAAUAGUUGCCUAAAAGAGCUUGUUUAGAAAGCCAAUCAACAGCUUGGUUCUGCUCACGAUAAAUGUAAGAAAUAGUGCCAGUAGGAAAUUGAUUUAUAAUAUUUAAUAUAUCCCAAAAAAUGGGAAGAUAAUCCAUCUUACAAGAGGAUUUAUGUCUAAGCCAUUGAAUUACUAUAAGAGAGUCAUCUUGAACAUAUAAAUCAUUAUUCCCAAAUUUCUGAAUAAUAGUUUUGAGCCCAUACCAAGCUGCCAAGACCUCUGCAUAAGGUACCGAGCAGGGAGAAAGGCUAAUACCUUUAGCCAAAACAAGAGUUUUACAAGCAUCAUGGAUAAUAAAGGCAAUCCCAGUAGCUUGAGAUUGAAUUGCAGCAUCAAAGUUUAGCAUUAACCACCCAAAUGAUGGAGGCAGCCAGAUUAAAAAAAUUAGGAGAGGAAAUGUGCCAUGGCACAUGAGAGCUGCCCCAAGGCUUUGACUAGGGGUUAGAUAAAAAAGCUUCAUUGGUACCUUGCAUAUAGGAAGACAAUUGUCUAAGCAAAUGCAAAUGGGAAGCAAAUUAAUGCUGAAAAAUUCUACCAUUGCGACUAUUUCAGAUUAACCAUGCCAUAUUACUCAUGAUUGCUUUCAAUCUGUUCUCUAUCCGAGUACUAGCUAAUAAAUCAACCAGUGCUGGCAAAGGAGGAGGAAGGGAAUUAAGCUUAGAAAUCAUGACUAGGGAGGUCCAAUAUUGCUUAGCAAAUGGACAAGUCACUAUAGCAUGUUCCAAGUCUUCAAUAGUAUCAGCACAGAGGUCACAAUGAGUAGAAGUGUUGGGAAUUAUGCCUCUUUGAUGCAAGGAUAAUUUGCAAGGCAAACAAUUCCACACAAGCUUCUAUAGGAAACAUUUGACCCUCAAAGACAGAUGAAGAGUCCAAAUCCAAUUGCACUGAGGUGUAUGAGACUCCAUAUCCAAAGCAGGAAGGACAUAUGCAAUGUUGGAUCUUGGGACAUUAGGAGCAUAUGAAUUAAACCAACAAAGUCUAUCGGGCCACUAAUUCAAAGGAACAGGAAUCUUAAUGAUAGCAUGAAUUAAAUCAUCAUUAAAACAUGAAUUAAGAGCUUGUAAAUUCCAUUGCCUAUUAGCAGUAAUAAAAUCAGCAGUAAUAAAAUCAGCAACAUUAAAAGAAGUCAGGUCAAUAUUUGAAUUGAUAAAGGUAGGCAUCAUGGAUAGAGGCACAUUAAAAAUCCAAGGAUCAGAAUAGACAUUGGCAGAAGUGCUAGAACCAAUCAUCCAAAUUAAAAAAUUUUGCAACUGGAUAUCAAAGGCACUUAUUUUGUUCCAAAUAAUAGAUACCUAUUCUAAGGGCCUGUAAAUUUAUAUUUUGCUUGAACCAGCUGAGCCCACAAGGUGGAGGGGCGCAAAAUAAGAUUUAUAGCUACUUUAUCUAUUAAAGCCAAUUGCCUAUUUCUCAAGGUCUGCAAUCCAAGGCCAUCACAAUCUUUGGCGUACAGAUUUUGGACCAAGCUAGCAUAUGAAGACCUUUUUGAGUUGAAGGAUGACUCCAUAAGAAGGCUCGGAACUUUUUCUCUAUACAGUUAAGAAUUGAAACAGGCAAGUGGAUAGAAUACAUGGUAUAAAGAGGAACUGAAGUAAGAAUUGAUUGCACAAGGGUUGCUCUUCCAGCAAAUGAGAGAUUCAUUCACUCCCACCCUUUUAUUUUAUUAUCCAGCUUUGCCAUAAGAUGAUUAGUUAGAUGGAGCUAAACAAGUAGCAGAUAAAAGAGUAACCAAUAAUCUCAGACACCUCGUUUAAUUGGAAUUUGUAGAAUAUGCAGAAUCUGCUACUUAGCAGAAGAGGCAAUAUUAGGACCAAAGAUGAUAUGGGACUUGGAAUAGUUAAUAGCUUAUCCAAUAGUAUCACAAUAAGCUUCAGGAAUAGAUUUCAACAUUAAAGCAUCACGAAUAGUAACACGAGCAGCCAAAAGACAAUCAUCAGCAUAAAGGAUAUGGGAGAUAACUAGGCCCUGUGGAUUAGUUUGGUAAGCUCAGAGAAGUUUCGGUUGAAUAGCAACAUGAAGGUAAGUAGUAAGUAAUUCAGAACCAAGAAUAAAUAUGGGGAUAAAGGGCAUCCUUGACGUAAUCUACAAGAAAUUGGAAACCAAUCCGAGAGAGAUCCAUUUAUAAGCAAAGCAAAGUGAGGGUGAGAAAUACAAGGAUGAAAUCAGUAAAUGAACUUAUCAUUAAAAUUAAAAGCAUGGAGAAGCUGAGAUAGAUAACUCCACUGAAAUCUAUCAAAAGCUUUUUGCAUGUCAAUUUUCCAAAGCACGAGGCUACGAGAUGGAGGGGCUUUCUGAAGAGAAUGCAUUAACUCCUGAGCGACCAAGAUAUUUUCGACGAUGUUCCUUCUUGAUAUAAAGGCAGCUUGGAAGGAGGAUAUCAAAUUAGGCAAAAUCUUUGACAUUCGAUUGGCCAGAAUUUUUGUAGCAAUUUUGUAGAUGGUGUUAGUAAGACUUAUAGGUCGGGAAUGAUGAGCUAAUGAUGGGUUGGAAACUUUCGGAACAAGUGCUAUAUAUGUUUGCUUCCAUGAGGUUGGCAUUGUAGAAGUUUCAAAGAAGAAUUUGAUUGCAGCAAUGACAUCCAAUUUGAUUGUCCCAAAAAGCUUGAAAGAAAAAGGGUUGGAAACCAUCUGGAACCGAUGAUUUAUUCAGAUGAAAAGAAAAAACAGCUGCCUCAAUUUCUGAUUGAGUAAUAUCAGUGAUUAGAUCCUCACUAGUGGCACUAGAUAAAGUAUGAGGCAGCUGAGGAAUAUAAGCACAAUGAGGCUGCCAAUUAAGAUCCCAUCUAGAUUUAAAAUGUUGGACAAGAAGAUCACGAAUACCUUGUUCAGAAUUAACAAUAGUUUCAAAAUCAGAUUGUAACUGGGAAAUCCGGUUACAGUUGCACCUUAACAAAGUAGAUCUAUGGAAGAAUCAAGUGUUUGUGUCACCCUCUUUAAGCCACAAAAUACAGAACUUGUAGAAGUAAUUGAAAGUAGAAGAAGGCAAUGAUCCGAAGCAAAUCUUGUCAAGUGAGCAAUUUGAGAUUUUGGACGGAUAUCAAACCAACCCUUCGAGGCAAAUACCGGAUCUAGUCUUUCCCACACUCUGGCCAAACCAAGUCUAUUAUUGCACCAAGUGUAUUUAGGGUCAUAAAAGCCAAGAUGCAUCAACCUAGUAUUCCAAAUAAUGGUCUUGAACUCUCUAACAUCUCUGUUAACUUUAAAAGGCUUACCUCGCUGUUUGUCAUCUGCAGAUAAGAUAACAUUAAAAUCAUCAAUCAAGAGUAAAGGGACUUAACUUUGAAGGACUUAGAGACAAGAUCCCAAACAAUACGUGUUUGGAGUCCACAAGUGCUAGCAUAAACAAUUGCAAGAAACCAAGUUUGGCCUUGAUCAGGAGGGAGAAGGCCAAAGCAAACCUGAUGAUCUAUAUGAAGGAAAGUGACCUGGCCCAAGGAUUUUUCCAAGCAACAAUAAUACCACCAGAAAGUCCAGUAGAUGGCACCAUAUAAAGAUGCCAAGAAGGACCCAUAAUGCGCUUAAAACGGGGUAAGGAUUGCAAAGAGAGUCUAGACUCGACAAAAGCAUAUAACAUAGGAUUAUGUUGUCUUAUUAGUGACUUAACAUUAGCAAAAAGGGGCUUAGAAGCACCCCUCUAAUUCCAAAAUAGCAGAUUCAUAUUUGAGGGUCAGUAGAAAGAGAAGGAUCCACUUCCUUCACCUUCCUAUUUGUGAUACCUAAACUUGUGAAGUAAGAGCCUUCGUAGGGGGAGGAACAGAAACAGAAUCAACGGCCCUACAAGAGGUAGAAGGCUCGACUCCAUCCAACAGAAGAGACAGUUGCUGACAUAGAUUAUGCAAGUGCAUUUGAUGAGAAGUAGAUGAUGUACCUUAUCUUUGCUGUGAGGGGAUAGAAGAAGAUGCUACAGCUGACCCCUUGUUGUGGGAUGAGAUAGAUGUUGAAUCCACUGGAGUUGAAGCAGAGCUCAUAGAACCUGUUGAGACCACCCUCCAAACUUCUUGGAAUUGGAACCCUAUGACUUUGUAACAAGAAGAGAAGAGUCAGUCGGAUGCUCAAGCAAUGAAGGAUCAGAGUCUUCAAUAACAACCACUUCAUGUUGCGGCAAUUCAGAAUUAGGAGAUUUAAUUGAGCCUUAAUUUAAUGUGGGAGAACACUUUUCUUUCUCUUUCUGUAAAGGACCGAGACAUCCAUUGGCUGACUCAGAUGAUCAUUUUGGUUCUCAACCAUCACAAGAGGGCCAAAUCUAGAACCCGAAGUUGGGACAGAUGAGUGAUGGGCAGAAGGUGGAGGGGACCUCUAUUAGGAAACCUUUUUAGGUUGAGUCCAUUGAGAGUUGUGAGAAGGAUUUUUAGAUGGUGGGGAAGCUGAUCUACGACUCCCAAGAUGUUAAGACGAGGCAGAGGGAAUAGGCACUCUAAUUGUCCUAAUCCAAAGGCCCCAUAGGGGUUUAACUUCAGAUGAACCUCCAGUAUUUGAACAACCAUACUCCUCCGUGGCUAUGUCUAAUCUUCCACAACAGUAACAUAUAUCAGAAAGAUCUUCAUAGAUGAAUUCUUGUCAAAUAAGGGUAUCCUUCACCGCAAUUUUAGUACCAAAGCAAAUUGGCUUAGAGAGAUCAACCUGCACGGUUACCCUGACAAAUCCCAUUCUAGUACUAUCUUCAUGAUUGUAUCUUUAUCCCAAAAUUCUAAUGGAAGAUCAGGAAGGAGAAUCCAAAUGGAAGCAUACCUUAAUUGGUCUCGGCUUGGUUGGAAGGAUGGUCUCCAAGCUUCCAUCGCUAGAAGCUGGCUAGCUAAGGACCAAGGUCCUUUGGCCAGAACCCUAUCUUGGAUCUCAACAGGAGGCAGGGAGAACAGCAAAAGAUCUUCUGAUAAUGACAUAACCUGGAGAUCCCCUUCAAUGUUCCAUCGGAAUUUCAUCUCCUUUUGGAUAAACUCUAGUGGGAACCUUUUAUCAAGAAAUUUCCCGAUGAUAGCUGAUUUCCACUGAGAUGAAGUGCGUUGGAGCUCACCAGCGGAGAAUGAGAUAACUUGAGAAAAUCUUGCCUCCAACGCUUCAAUAUCUUCUUUUGUAGCCUGCAUUUAAACCUCCUAAUGCCCUGUACAACGUGGGAUCAGGUUCUGGCUGCAGUAGAUGACCUCAGACCAUGAUGCUCAGCAGCUUGCCUAGGAGGAGAGGAAGAACUCCCUCCAGAUGGCUGAUUUGCAGUUUUCGAAGCAGCCAAGGUCGGGUUUUGAUGAUCCGAAGCAGGAGCAGAAGGUUGGGACCCUUUGCUCUUAUGAUUCAUUAUCGAUGAAGGAGCUUCUAUACAAUCACCUUUCAAAUUAGUCGGAUCUAGGUCCAUCCGGGCCUCCUCUGACAAGCUUCGACCCUCUUUAGAGGGAAAUUGAGAAAUCCUACUCAACUUUCCUUUUUCAGUCGCUAGAGCUACAGUAACUUUUUCGCUCGAGCACCGCUCAAUUUGCUUCACCUUUCGAGGCUCGAUUGCUGCUUGUUUUGUUGUUUAGCAGCACUGGUUGCAAGGCAUGUAAGAUGAACUAUUUCUAUUUAUGAAGUUGUUAGGCUUUGUUCUACCCA
rnacentral:lncRNA from 1 species